rnacentral:rRNA from 1 species
GGGGAAUCUUGCGCAAUGGGCGAAAGCCUGACGCAGCGACGCCGCGUGGGGGAAGAAGGCUUUCGGGUUGUAAACCCCUUUCAGGAGGGACGAAGCCACUCGGGUGAAUAGCCCAGAGGGUGACGGUACCUCCAGAAGAAGCCCCGGCUAACUACGUCCCAGCCGCCGCGGUAAUGCGGGGGGAGCAAGCGUUGUUCGGAUUUACUGGGCGUAAAGGGCGCGUAGGCGGCCACCGCAAGUCGACUGUGAAAUCUCCGGGCUUAACCCGGAAAGGUCAGCCGAUACUGCGGGGCUAGAGUGCAGAAGGGGCAACUGGAAUUCUCGGUGUAGCGGUGAAAUGCGUAGAUAUCGAGAGGAACACCUGCGGCGAAGGCGGGUUGCUGGGCUGACACUGACGCUGAUGCGCGAAAGCUAGGGGAGCGAAC